CGAACGGGUGAGUAACGCGUGAGGAACCUGCCUCAAAGAGGGGGACAACAGUUGGAAACGACUGCUAAUACCGCAUAAGCCCACGGGUCGGCAUCGACCUGAGGGAAAAGGAGCAAUCCGCUUUGAGAUGGCCUCGCGUCCGAUUAGCUAGUUGGUGAGGUAAUGGCCCACCAAGGCGACAAUCGGUAGCCGGACUGAGAGGUUGAACGGCCACAUUGGGACUGAGACACGGCCCAG
rnacentral:rRNA from 1 species